AGAGUUUGAUCCUGGCUCAGAACGAACGUUAGCGGCGCGCUUAACACAUGCAAGUCGAACGAGAAAGCACCUUCGGGUGUGAGUAAAGUGGCGCACGGGUGAGUAACACGUGGGUAAUCUACCUUUUGGUGGGGGACAACAUCUCGAAAGGGGUGCUAAUACCGCAUAAGUCCACUUCGGUGGGGAAAGGCGGCUUCGGCUGUCGCCAGAAGAUGAGCCCGCGGCCCAUCAGCUUGUUGGUAGGGUAAUGGCCUACCAAGGCACCGACGGGUAGCUGGUCUGAGAGGAUGAUCAGUCACACUGGAACUGAGACACGGUCCAGACUCCUACGGGAGGCAGCAGUGGGGAAUAUUGCGCAAUGGGCGAAAGCCUGACGCAGCGACGCCGCGUGGGUGAUGAAGGUUUUCGGAUCGUAAAGCCCUGUGGGAGAGGGGAGAACACCCUAUGGGAACAAUACCCUGUAGGUCUGACGGUACCUCUCCAGAAAGCACCGGCUAACUCCGUGCCAGCAGCCGCGGUAAUACGGAGGGUGCAAACGUUGUUCGGAAUCACUGGGCGUAAAGCGCGUGUAGGCGGCACGUUAAGUCAGAUGUGAAAGCCCUCGGCUCAACCGAGGAAGUGCAUUUGAAACUGGCGAGCUAGAGUACGGGAGAGGGUUGUAGAAUUCCCGGUGUAGAGGUGAAAUUCGUAGAUAUCGGGAGGAAUACCGGUGGCGAAGGCGGCAACCUGGACCGAUACUGACGCUGAGACGCGAAAGCGUGGGGAGCAAACAGGAUUAGAUACCCUGGUAGUCCACGCCGUAAACGAUGGACACUAGGUGCUGCGG
rnacentral:rRNA from 1 species